AUUGGGCUCUCUUCAUUUCCCUUUAAAUAAGGAGGACUGAUGGGACUGGCGAGUCUCCUGUUUGAUCAGGAGCAAUUUUAAAAAGCUACUAGGGUGGACCAUCUUUGAAGAUGUAAUUACCUCAUAAGUUCUAUUUAGAUUGUCUGUAUUUAUCUAUGUUUUUCAAAAAUAAUCAAAGUAAUAUAUGCUUGUGGUAAUUCAAAUAAUGCUGAAAAAUACAAAAUAAAAGUUUCUCUCCUGCCCAGCCUAAUCUUACUUCCUAAGGAUAACCAUUAUCAAGAGUUUAUUAUAUAUUUUUCUAGAUGUAUUUUUAUGUCUGUACAAACAUCUGUGUAUAUAUUUAUUAUAAAUACACACAUAUAGUAUUUUUCCCACAAAAAAUGAGCUCUAUUAAUUUACCAAAGACUUAUAUUUCCAUUCCCAUCCCAUCAUUCAUCAAUUUGUCAUGGAUUAUUCUCCAAGGCAGCCCAAACAGAUCUAACUCAUGUUUUAAAUGACCAUAUACUGUGUUAUGUAGUAAAUCAAAAUUUAUUUGGUAAUUACCCUAUUGUUGGUAAUUUAGAUCAUUGCCAAUUUCUCCUAUUUGAUAAUUCAGCAAAGAGCGACAUGACAUAUAUAAUUUACACACUUCUAUAAUUGCUUCUCAAGGAUAGAUUCUAGAAGUAAAUUCGCCAGGUCAGGGAAUUUAAGUAUUCCCAGUGCAUAAAAGUGCCUAUUUGCCCGAACCUACUAAAACAAGUAAAAAGAAAUUUAAAUGACUAAUAAUAGAGACACAAAUGAAAUAAUUAUGGUGCUAUAAUAGAUUAGUUAUAUGAUAUUAAUAGAUACAUUAUUGCAUAAAUACUAAAAUAUUAAGCUUAAAGGAAGUUUUAAAUGUGAAAAUGUUUAUAACAUACAGGGUAAAUAGUAGAAUGCUUUGUAUAUAAAAUUAUGUGUGUAUAAUUUCUACUACUAGUUCCUACUACUAGUUAUGUGUGUAUAAUUUCUACUACUAGUUUCAUUGCUGAAACUAGUAGUGUGACAUAAUUAUGUUUCCUUUCCUUUCCCCUGGAGCCAAUAAUUUUGUCAAUUAUUCAUUCACUUGUCUUCUAAAUGCGAUUUCACAUAUUCCAAUGCUUGUCAGAUAAUCUGAGUGCCAUUUUGAAUUUAUUUCCAGAAAUCUUUACUCUCCUGCUCCAAUCUUGACUGGUUGCCUUGUAGUUCCAUUUUAUGCUUCGUUACUCUGGCACUUUCUUUUGAUAUUUUCCUGGGAAAUCUCCUCAGCUGUCUUCUCUGUGGAAGCCCAUGUUUCCAGAAUCCUAGCUUCUUCUUUACUGAUUUUCUCCCUAUUUGAGAAUUUACAUGCCUGAAAAUGGCUUUGAAUCUGUAGCAUAUUCUCAGGGGUCAUUCAGUUUCUGUCUUGAAAGUUUCUCAAAGUCUUGUCCCUGGGAUGUGUGUGUGUCUGGCUGCGAGUAUUUGGGGACAGGGAAUGAGGGCUGGCAGGGAUUGGGGGUGUGUUUCUCUGGUAAAUAUAUAGAUUCCACCUAAUCCACCUAUUUUCAGUCCCAUAUCUCCUCUUGAAUCUUUCUGUUCCCAUUGUCUGUAAGCCUAAAUUCUUUGUGAUUCAUGUUCUGUAAGGAAUAAAUCUCAAGUCUGAGAAUUUGGAAGGGGAUGUUGAGGCUUUUCAGGGUCUAACCACCUCUUACACAGAAUUUCCAAUGAUUCUCUUAAUUCCAGACCUGGGCUUUGUACUCCCUUUCUGCAAAACCCAAUUCUUGAGCCUUUGCAGCUUGGUUCUGUUUCCUCCUUCUAAAGAAACAGGUUCAGCUUCCUCUAUUCCCCUGAGUAAUCAAGCUUUCCAUCCUCCAAAAUACACUGAUGUUUCCUGACCCCCUGUGUCUUCUCUCCUGUAAUUUUGAUUCUUUUAGGCCUAUAUAUUUUAAAUAUUAUUAUUGUCAUAUUAAUAGGCAUUCAGGAGAGAAUAGAAGUGAUACAUCUAUUCAAUUCACCAGGUCAAACCAGAAAUCUCCAUUUCUAUUUAAAUAAUCCUGUGGCAUUAUCUUUUUCUUUUCUUUUUCUUUCUAUUAAGAAAUUUUUUUCAAAGAUAAUUUUGGCAGAAAUAUAAGUAAUGAAUUAAGACAUUAUCUUUUAUUUCAAAACAUAGUGAUUAAAAUAAGAGUAGCAUUUUGAUUCUUUGAGCUAUUUUGAACAUGGGAUUUUUAGUUGGUCACAGAUGACUUUUUAUUGUUCCCCUGAAUAUCCCUUUCUUCCACUAUGCCUCUUCAUAAUCAGUUUGUUACAUCAGUUCAAAUGCAACAUUGCUAUGUCUCUGUGAGUAUCAUCUCUUCCUAAAUCCUUCAAUUUCUCCAAAAUUACAUUUCUCAGGAAAUUCACUUUAGUUGUCAUAACUUCUCCAUAUCGUUCUAUUUGUGUAGAACACAGUGACUGUAGCAAAGCUGUCAGAGUAAAAACAAGACAAUAGUUAGCUUACUAGUUCUUGUACCUGUAACUCCCAGAAUUUUAUAGUGAAUUUCUUUUAAAAUCCUCCACUUGAAUAUCUGCCUUCAUCUCUGACGUUGUCUGCAUUUAGUACAGGAAGCAAGGAAAGGAGAAAGGAUAGAUAAUAUUGUGUUAAUUAAUAUGUUCAUGUUGGGCUGGGUACAUUGGCUCACGCCUAUAAUCCCAACAUUUUGGAAGAUCAGGGCCAAAGGAUUGCUUGAGGCCAGGCGUUUGAGACCAGCCUGGGCAAUGUAACAAGACUCUGUCUUUACAAAAAAUAAAAAUAAAAAAUUAGCUGGGCAUAAUGACCCAUACCUGUAGCCUAGCUACUUGGGAGGCUGAGGUGAGAGGAUUGCUUGAAACCAGGAGUUGAAGGUUACAGUGAGCUAUGAUUGCGCCACUCAACCCCAGACUGGGUGACAUAGUGAGACCUUGUCUCUAAAGAAAAGUACCAUAUUGAUAUAAAAAUAAGAUAAUGAUAAAUAGUUGAUGUAAAAUAUAAAUAAUUAAUAUUCACAAAAUUAAACACAGAAACAAGUAACCAAAAGAAUUUCCCACAUACCAACAACUAGUAUAGUAUAGUACUUUGGCAAUAUUUCUAUUAUUUUAGAGAGAUAGAUUGUCUCUAUAUACUGUUUACAUAGAAAAAGUUUCAAGUUUUGGAUACCAAACAAUUGAUGUUAUUUAAUUUUUUCACUGAAUUGACUCUUAGUGAUGUAUAAACAUCAUUAAAUUUGCUCUACUUUUCAUACUUUUUGAGUUCAGUUUCAUGCAUGGUGGGCUUAAGUUAGCUGUGUGUAUAUGCUCAUUCCUAUAAAAGAGUUGACACUGAAAAAUUAAAAUUUCACUCAAUCAUUGACUUAUAACAGUUCUUUUAUUAUAUACCUUAUAGUGAAGCUGUCCUUGAACAAACUGGCUGCUCAAUAUAUAUUUAAUUGAGUUUUUAAAAUUUGUUUAGGGAUGUUGGUACAUAAAAACUGGCAAACUAUACGGGAAGUUGUACAAGCUAGUUGUACAUAUAUCAUGUAAGAAUGAUUUUUUGUAUAAUGACUUCUUUUUCUCUGGGUAGACACACAGUAGUGAGAUUCCUGGAUCAAAUGGUAAUUCUACUUUUAGUUUUUUUUAAGGAAUCUCCACACUGCAAUUGCAAAAAUAUGGAACCAGCCCAAACACCCAUCAAUUAAUGAUUGGAUAAGGAAAUUGUGGUGUAUAUGUAUAUACCAUGGAAUACUACUCAGCCAUAAAAAGGAAUGAAUUAAUGGCAUUUACAACAACCUGGAUGGAACUGGAGACUAUCAUUCUAAGUGAAGUAACUCAGGAAUGGAAAACAAACCUCGUAUGUUCUCACUCAUAAGUGAGAGCUAAGCUACCAGGAUACAAAGGCAUAAGAAUGAUACGAUGGACUUUGGGGAUUUGGGGGAAAGUGUGGGAGAGAGGUGAGGGAUAAAAGACUACAAAUUAGGUUCAGUGUAUACUGCUCAGGUGAUGGGUGCACUGAAAUCCCACAAAUCACCACUGAAGAACUUACUCAUGUAACCAAAUACCACCUGUUUUCCAGAAACCUAUGGAAAUACAAAAUUUAAAAAGAAUUUUUUUAUUUCAUGUAUAAAUUAGAAAUGAAUUCACGUAUUCUGUACUGGAAAACUGUUAUUCUGUUAGGCAUUCUUCCAUGCACAGUCUCUAGUUAACCUACUAAAUUAUCAGCUCACUUUAUAUCUUUGACUUCCCCUAAAUAGUGUCUCCUUUCCCAACAUUUCAGAUAAGAGAAAGCUUGCUGCCCAGGCAGAAUCCCCUGAGCAGCUGCACUUGCCUCAUUCUCUGCAGCCCCGUCUGCUUUGUUGACCUUCCUCAAGACCUUUCAAUAUAAGUAUCUGAGGUUUUGUUUCCAAGUCUUUCUUCCAGACUAUGGAGUGCAGCUGAGAAAAAAAAUAUAUAUAUAAAGCUCAUUGACUCUCUAUCUAUUUCAUUCCCAACACUGGCUCAGUUUUACUCCCUAGGAAACUUCCUUACCAAUUGGUGAUGAAGAACAUUCCAAAUCUUCAUCACUUUUAUCAAGCCUAUCAUUGUGGGUAUUCUGCCUUUAUCUCUGCCCUAUCAGAGAAAAUAACAACAGCUACCAUCUAAUGAGCACUUGCUGCCAAACAUUUUACACAAAACAACACAAUAGAUCUUUUUAUUCCCUUUUUUUUUGUAGGUGAUGAACCAGAACUUCAGAGAGAAAAAGAAACAUACUCAAGGGCAUACAGCUCAUGCCUUCAUACAGCUCAUCAGACAUAUUCGAUUCAUGCCUCAUUAUCCUUUUUUCCCUUUAUUCUUUUAAAAUAUAAUAUUUGAUACAUACACAAAGAUAUAAUGUAUAAUGUACAAUCAGCCCUCAGUAUCCACAGGGAAUUGAUUCCAGAAUCCCCUGGGAUACCCAAAUCUGUGGAUGUUUGGGUUCCUUAUAUAAAAUGGUAUAGUAUUUGCAUUUCACCUGUGCAUAUUCUCUUGCAUAAUUUAAAUCAUCUCUAGGUUACUUAUAGUAACCAGUACAGUUUAAAUACUAUGUAAAUAGUCAUUUUACUGUAUUGUUUUAAAAAUUUGUGUUAUUUUUAUUGUUGUUUUAGUUUGUAUGUUUUUAAAUAUUUUUCAAUCUGUAGUCAGUUGACUCCAGGGAUGCAGAACCCAUGAAUAUGGAGGGCUGACCACAUAGAUAAUUAAAGCUAAAUAACACAAUGAAUGUUCAAAAUUCCAUCUUCUAAUGUAGAAACUAGAAUAUAACCAGCACUGUUGCACUUACCUAUGUUUUUCUCCCUUCUCUCACUCUGCGGCCUUCCCCAACUUUCUGAGCGGGAAAUUAAUAAAAUGAGUAGGAGAGUGCACAGUCCUGGAGAUAUUGCUUCACUAUGCGAAUCAAUCCUGGUCCUAGCAGUUUGGCACCACCCGGCGGUGAUUGUCCACUCCAACCUAAAUAUUGACGGGAUUGAUUCCGGGCCUGUAGUUGACUGGACGUCAGGAAAGCAGUAAUGAUUCCAGGAAAUUCCUAGCUAGAUAGUGCAAAUUUUGUUGGCCCAGUUUGGGAAUAUUGAAUGGGGCAAUUACUGAGCAAGCGGGAUUCGAACUCCACUUCUCCUGUGGAUUUUGUGCUAGUUUGCUGCCUGGCUGCCCUAUCUAUUAUGUACCCUAUUCCAUCCCCCAACCUCAGAACAAAAGCAAUAUUCCUCCUCCCUAUCUGUUCUACAUGUAGGAUAGAGUGGUGGAUGGGAGCGAAACAUCCAUUUUAUAGUUUUAGAAUUUAUGUUAUCCUGGAUAUAUUUCCAUAAGGUUAUACUAUAUUUAAGUAUUUGUAUAUAUUUUCUCUCUCCUUCCAUUAUAAUCUAGGCUUCAAAAAGGUAAGGAUUUUUAUGUUUUCUUCCCAGUGAGUAGAAGAGUCCCUAGCCUGCAGACACUCAAAAAUAGUUGUUGAAUAAGAUGAGUGAAUGAAUAUUGAAAUCUUCCAUUAUAUGGUAGAGUUGUCCAUUUCUUCCUGUAAUUCUAUCAAUUAUUGCUUUAUAUUUUUAAGGCUCUUUUAUCAAGCACAUACAAAACUGAAAUCAUUAAAGCUUCUUGGUGAACUUAGUUUUCCUUAAUAAUGUUUUGGGGUGAUUUGUUUUUGUUUUUAUAUUUUUGGUCAUAAACUUGUUUCAAUACUAAUAUUCCAUCAAGAUUUCUUUUGGUUAAUAUCUGUCAGGUAUAUCUUUUUACUAACUUUUUACUAUGUCCUUAUGUUUUAUGUCCCCGUAUUCUAAACAGUAUUUAGCUGGAUUUUUUAAAUACAACUGGACAAUCAACCAUUUAAUAGACUCUGCAUCACAAAAACGCAGGAUAUUAUAACCUACUCGGUAUUUUGGACAUCGAAGGAGAAAAGGACUAGAAGUUAUGGGAAGGUUGAGCAAAAGAGAAGGAGAAAGGAAGAGGAUGAGGAGGAGAAGGAGAAGAGAAGAGGAGGAAGAGGAGGAGGAGAAGGAGAAGGAGUACUGUGUUUCACUAGUGCAUUUUACCUUCUGCACGGUAAAUAAUUAGUACCCCCAAGCUUAUAAAUAACAGGAUGGUGUCCUCUGACUAAAAUUAGGGCUAGUUUUUAUGUUAGGAAUUUAUAAUUUCCUAAUUGCUAUUGAGAUUUCUUGCAGCAUAAACAAACAGAUGUGCUUUUAAUUAGAUUAGCCUCUUAUAAACAAAUGCGUGUCUCAAGUUCAAUCCAAUUUUUUCUUAGUUUCUUAUUGUAUGCAAGC
rnacentral:lncRNA from 1 species